CAGGUUUGGUGUGGAGAUUACUGAUGAAGAGUUUGACUUUCUACUUGACAGAAUCCCCUUGAUGAAGAUGGAAAUGUCAGAGACCCCCAAUUCAUGGCCGUGUUGGAUUCUUAGCACUCCUUUUCCACAUUUUCUCAUUUCUUGGCAGCUGUCCCACCAAGAAUACCACGUCCAAGAGCAGGAUUCUCCUUCCAAAGUGUGUGUGUGGACUUGAGAAGCAGCCUUUGGAAGAUGGCUCUGCCCAGACUUUGUAGAGCCUACUUUAAUUCCUUGGAGGUCUGCAAUCUCCAGGUUGUCAGUCAUGCAGGACCUUGGCUGUUGAAGAGAAUUCAUAUCCUCAGCAAGCUAGCACUAAAGGGAACCACAGAGGUCAUAUUGUCCACCUUCUUUUUGGAACAGGG